UGGAAAGACCAAGAGCUGCAUUUCUUCCUAAUCUUCCUAGGGGAGUUUGAAUGAAAAUAUGGUUUUACAAAUUUAAAAUGUUACAACUGUCACUACAGUGAAGUAGGAAGAGAGCCCCAAGUUGUAUGUCUGUUGUCAAACAACUCUGGGGAGAUGCUGCAUGAGAAUGGCUGGGCAGAUCUUAUUUACAAAAUGUUCAGAGUGUGGAGGAAGGGAACACAAGAAAAUCACAGUAAUACAGAGAAAAAGCAGAAUGACUGAGAAUUUCCCAUGAGGAAGAAGUGGGAGCUUUACUCCUCAAGCUGACAGGAAAGCAUUUGGGGUAGGGGCAGUGCUUGCCGAGCGCGCUAUUGCAGUUACCAGCACCAAGGACAGCGACAACUUUUCCCGCCGUCUGGGUGGUCCUUACCCGCAGCAAAUACAAUUCUUGGGACACGAAUCUUGAUGGUUUAUUGCCCCCCCCCCGCACCCCCUGCAACCUGGAAUCUCAGCAUCCGAGAGGCUGUGGCAGGAGGAUUGUGACUACAAUUGGAGGUGUGGGUGGUACCUAUGUGUUGAGAAGGAGCUCCUGAGCAAAAUCAGACUGUCAAAGGAGUAGGGCAAGAUAAACCGUACGAAGCCAAGCAACCACACAGGGUACACUAAAUGGAGUACCAUUGCUCAUGAGAAGGCCGCUAUACGGAAUGGUUUUUCAUCUCUUCCCACCCCCCUCCAUUCUUCUAUGCACAAAAUUAAAGGCAGGUUAUACUACUAGGCCUAUCCCAUGGUAACAGAAAAAGCGCUUGUACCCCUCUUCUUCCAGCCUUAGACACGAAGUCUCCUGUGUGGCAUACUUGUACCCCUCUUCUUCCAGCCUUAGACACGAAGUCUCCUGUGUGGCAUACUUGUACCCCUCUUCUUCCAGCCUUAGACACGAAGUCUCCUGUGUGGCAGGCAUACUUGUACCCCUCUUCUUCCAGCCUUAGACACGAAGUCUCCUGUGUGGCAUACUGUGAUUCAGCACAGCAGCCUGCCAUCACUGGGAGGAGCACGGGCCUUCAGGGCUGGACUCAGAUGUGUGGUCUUUUUCGGCUGUCCUUUGAACCACAUGGAAGAAUGUGUUCACAGAGUAAGCUGCUACACAAUCUGCUCUUUGCUUGGAAAAAUGAAAAAACACUAAAAAAAAAAAUACC